GGGAUUGCCUCAGUAACGGCGAGUGAAGCGGCAACAGCUCAAAUUUGAAAUCUGGCCUUCUGGCCCGAGUUGUAAUUUGCAGAGGAUGUUUCUGGCGAGGUGCCUUCCGAGUUCCCUGGAACGGGACGCCAUAGAGGGUGAGAGCCCCGUACGGUUGGUCGCUAAGCCUCUGUGAAACUCCUUCGACGAGUCGAGUAGUUUGGGAAUGCUGCUCUAAAUGGGAGGUAUACGUCUUCUAAAGCUAAAUACCGGCUAGAGACCGAUAGCGCACAAGUAGAGUGAUCGAAAGAUGAAAAGCACUUUGAAAAGAGGGUUAAAUAGUACGUGAAAUUGUUGAAAGGGAAGCGCUCAUGACCAGACUUGGGCCGGUUGAUCAUCCACCGUUCUCGGUGGUGCACUCUGCCGGUUCAGGCCAGCAUCAGUUUGGUCCGGGGGAUAAAGGUUUCGGGAAUGUGGCUCCCCACGGGGAGUGUUAUAGCCCGUUGCGUAAUACCCUGGGCUGGACUGAGGUUCGCGCUCCGCAAGGAUGCUGGCGUAAUGGUCAUCAGUGACCCGUCUU
rnacentral:rRNA from 2 species